GACAAUAAUUGAAUCACAUAACAUGAGAUAUUAUGCAACAAUUACUAAAGCAAUAAUUGAACAAAACUGAGUGACUUCUCACGUAAGCAUCAAUAAUCAAUACCGUGUGCUACUAUACAACCACGCGUAUUACUGUACUUUUACUACCGAGUAGUUCAACAGUUUUAACGGUAAAACUUCCGUCGUUAUUUUUAUAAAAAUAUUUUUGUCCUUUUCUCAAUCCGACAAUAAUU
rnacentral:lncRNA from 1 species